AAGUGAAUAACUUAAAAAAGAGAAAUGAACAAGAAGAGGAAAUUGCAAAUUUGUGUUUCACGGGAGUUGAAAACUCCAAGGGCAAAGGAGUUAAAUCAACUUGUUGGCAAGCUAGAUGACAAUUGAAGGCUAGAGAUCGGAGCUUCGUUGGAAGUACCUCUAAUUUGUCACUAUGAGGAUGGUGGUAAGCAAGGAUAGUGGCACUAAUCUCGCUUGUGGUUCCUACCUAUAGUGCUUUGAUGCCACUCGUUUAAAAGUACUCCGGGUGAUGCCAAUGUCAGGAGUUUACUCCAAUCGAUGAUCUGUUCUCUACCAACUACUUCGGUGUUAUGCAUGAUCUGUUCUUUACCAAUUGCUUCGGCACGUGCUUAAUAUGUUUCUCCACUAGCGGCUUUGCCCUAAGCAUGAUUUGAUUCUCCUCUAGUUGGCCAUCGAUUGUGAUUUGACUGUGUUUAGGGGAGGAUCACUCAUUGAUUUGGUUUGUAUAUGAUGUGAGAUAGCCAUGUAGAAGCUUAGAUAAAUGCGAUAUGAUUCUGAUGUGGUAUUCCAGUGACUAGAAUGUGUCGUGGAGAAUGAUUUAAAUAACUUUGAUUGGCUUCGAGAGUAAGCCUAAUGAUGUGUGAUAAUCUUUGGAGACAUUAAGGAUAAUGAUAUGCCCUCACAUCAAAGAUUUACGGGAUAAUGAUAUCCUUUAUAUUCAAAGAUGUUUGCUUGAACAUUUAGA